rnacentral:rRNA from 1 species
CUUACACAUGCAAGUCGAACGGCAGCACGGGGGCAACCUGGUGGCGAGUGGCGAACGGGUGAGUAACAUAUCGGAACGUGCCCUGGAGUGGGGGAUAACUAGUCGAAAGAUUAGCUAAUACCGCAUACGAUCUACGGAUGAAAGUGGGGGAUCGCAAGACCUCAUGCUCGUGGAGCGGCCGAUAUCUGAUUAGCUAGUUGGUGGGGUAAAGGCCUACCAAGGCAUCGAUCAGUAGCUCCUCUGAGAGGACGACCAGCCACACUGGGGACUGAGACACGGCCCAGACUCCUACGGGAGGCACCAGUGGGGAAUUUUGGACAAUGGGCCGCCAGCUGAUCCAGCAAGCCGCGUGAGUGAAGAAGGCCUUCGGGUUGUAAAGCUCUUUUGGUCAGGGAAGAAACGGUGGGGGCUAAUAUCCCU